rnacentral:rRNA from 1 species
AAACCAACAGGGAUUGCCCCAGUAACGGCGAGUGAAGCGGCAAAAGCUCAAAUUUGAAAUCCUGCGGGAAUUGUAAUUUGAAGGUUUCGUGGUCUGAGUCGGCCGCGCCCAAGUCCAUUGGAACAUGGCGCCUGGGAGGGUGAGAGCCCCGUAUGGCGCACGCCGACUCUUUGCACCGCGGCUCCGACGAGUCGAGUUGUUUGGGAAUGCAGCUCUAAGUGGGUGGUAAAUUCCAUCUAAAGCUAAAUAUUGGCGAGAGACCGAUAGCGAACAAGUACAGUGAUGGAAAGAUGAAAAGCACUUUGAAAAGAGAGUGAAACAGCACGUGAAAUUGUUGAAAGGGAAGGGCUUGCAAGCAGACACGGUUUUACCGGGCCAGCGUCGAAAAGGGGGGAGGAACAAGAACUCGAGAAUGUGGCGCGCACCUUCGGGCGCGCGUGUUAUAGCUCGUGUUGACGCC